AUAUAUAUAUAGAGCUGUGGCACAGGUUCCUGGCUGCUACUGUCGAAAGAGGGAUAUUACCAAUCAGGGGCACGGUCUUGUUUCUCUCUUUUUGGCUUCCGUUGCUAGUCCUUGUACAUCACAAGUACAGAUGCGAGGUUGAGGGAUUGCGCUUUCUUUGUGGGGUUCUUCUGAUCUAUAUCUUUUACAGCAUGGAGUUCCUGUCCUAUUCCUUCAACAGGAGAGAAUUUUGUUUAUAAUCUAUA